rnacentral:rRNA from 1 species
CCUACGGGAGGCUGCAGUGAGGAAUAUUGGUCAAUGGGCGAGAGCCUGAACCAGCCAAGUCGCGUGAGGGAGUACUGCCCUAUGGGUUGUAAACCUCUUUUGUCGGGGAGCAAAAGCCGGACGUGUCCGGCUGUGAGAGUACCCGAAGAAAAAGCAUCGGCUAACUCCGUGCCAGCAGCCGCGGUAAUACGGAGGAUGCGAGCGUUAUCCGGAUGUAUUGGGUUUAAAGGGUGCGCAGGCGGAUUUUUAAGUCAGCGGUAAAAUCGUGGGGCUCAACCCCAUCCAGCCGUUGAAACUGGGGAUCUAGAGUGUGCGAGAGGUAUGCGGAAUGCGUGGUGUAGCGGUGAAAUGCAUAGAUAUCACGCAGAACCCCGAUUGCGAAGGCAGCAUACCGGUGCACAACUGACGCUCAGGCACGAAAGCGUGGGUAUCGAACAGGAUUAGAUACCCGGGUAGUC